AGAGUUUGACCCUGGCUCAGGAUGAACGCUAGCGGCAGGCUUAACACAUGCAAGUCGAGGGGUAACAGGGAGCUUGCUCUGCUGACGACCGGCGCACGGGUGCGUAACGCGUAUGCAACCUACCUUCUACAGGGGGAUAGUCAAUAGAAAUGUUGAAUAAUACCCCAUACGAUCUUUGAGUGGCAUUACUUAAAGAGGAAAGCUUCGGCGGUAGAAGAUGGGCAUGCGUCCUAUUAGUUAGUUGGUGAGGUAACGGCUCACCAAGACUACGAUAGGUAGGGGCCCUGAGAGGGGGAUCCCCCACACUGGUACUGAGACACGGACCAGACUCCUACGGGAGGCAGCAGUGAGGAAUAUUGGACAAUGGAGGCAACUCUGAUCCAGCCAUGCCGCGUGCAGGAAGACUGCCCUAUGGGUUGUAAACUGCUUUUAUACAGGAAGAAACCUACUUACGUGUAAGUAGCUGACGGUACUGUAUGAAUAAGGAUCGGCUAACUCCGUGCCAGCAGCCGCGGUAAUACGGAGGAUCCAAGCGUUAUCCGGAAUCAUUGGGUUUAAAGGGUCCGUAGGUGGUUUAUUCAGUCAGAGGUGAAAUCCCAUAGCUUAACUAUGGAACUGCCUUUGAUACUGAUAGACUUGAGUUAUUGUGAAGUGGUUAGAAUGUGUAGUGUAGCGGUGAAAUGCAUAGAUAUUACACAGAAUACCGAUUGCGAAGGCAGAUCACUAACAAUAUACUGACACUGAGGGACGAAAGCGUGGGUAGCGAACAGGAUUAGAUACCCUGGUAGUCCACGCCGUAAACGAUGGUCACUAGCUGUUUGACC
rnacentral:rRNA from 1 species